rnacentral:rRNA from 1 species
CAGUCGCCACGGUAAUACGUAGGGUGCAAGCGUUAAUCGGAAUUACUGGGCGUAAAGCGUGCGCAGGCGGUUAUAUAAGACAGAUGUGAAAUCCCCGGGCUCAACCUGGGAACUGCAUUUGUGACUGUAUAGCUAGAGUACGGCAGAGGGGGAUGGAAUUCCGCGUGUAGCAGUGAAAUGCGUAGAUAUGCGGAGGAACACCGAUGGCGAAGGCAAUCCCCUGGGCCUGUACUGACGCUCAUGCACGAAAGCAUGGGGAGCAAACAGGAUUAGAUACCCCCGUAGUCCCUGUCUCUUAUAC